rnacentral:lncRNA from 1 species
AUGUCUGUAUUACAGUGCUUGCAAGAGCCUAAGAAAAGAGCACGAAACUUGGAGGGUGGAUCAUCUGUCUCCUGUCCACAGCUAUGCUGCUAUGACGUGGCCAUGGACAAGUCAUUUCACCUUUCUGAGACUUUCUUCUCAUUGACCUGUCCUACCUACGAGGGUAACGGCAGGAGCAGAGCGGAGCUGGCCUGGCGUGCUGCUGCGGGAGCCUCUUCUCCUCUAGAUGGCACCGGCUGCCUGCUUGCGGAAACGCCUCGCUUGGACGUCAGCUGCCCAAAGGAAUGA